rnacentral:rRNA from 1 species
UGGUUAAUAUUCCAAUACCGACUAUGGAGCGUGAUGGGGGGACGCAUAGGGUUAAGCGAGCUAGCUGAUGGAAGCGCUAGUCUAAGGGCGUAGAUUGGAGGGAAGGCAAAUCCACCUCUGUAUUUGAAACCCAAACAGGCUCUUUGAGUCCUUUUAGGACAAAGGGAGAAUCGCUGAUACCGUCGUGCCAAGAAAAGCCUCUAAGCAUAUCCAUAGUCGUCCGUACCGCAAACCGACACAGGUAGAUGAGAUGAGUAUUCUAAGGCGCGUGAAAGAACUCUGGUUAAGGAACUCUGCAAACUAGCACCGUAAGUUCGCGAUAAGGUGUGCCGCAGCAAUGCGGUCUCAGCAAAGAGUCCCUCCCGACUGUUUACCAAAAACACAGCACUUUGCCAACUCGUAAGAGGAAGUAUAAGGUGUGACGCCUGCCCGGUGCUCGAAGGUUAAGAGGAUGCGUCAGUCGCAAGAUGAAGCGUUGAAUUGAAGCCCGAGUAAACGGCGGCCGUAACUAUAACGGUCCUAAGGUAGCGAAAUUCCUUGUCGGUUAAAUACCGACCUGCAUGAAUGGCGUAACGAGAUGGGAGCUGUCUCAACCAGAGAUUCAGUGAAAUUGUAGUGGAGGUGAAAAUUCCUCCUACCCGCGGCAAGACGGAGAGACCCCGUGGACCUUU